GAUGAACGCUGGCGGCGUGCCUAAUACAUGCAAGUCGAGCGAAGCGGGGACGGGUGAGUAACACAUGGAUAACCUCCUAUAGGGAUGGGAGAACUUCUGGAAAACGGAGCUAAAACGGCUACUAAUAGAUCGAUCCGCGCUGCAUUAGCUAGUUGGUAAGGUAACGUCUUACCAAGGCAACGAUGCCUAACCGAGCGGAGAGGGUGAUCAGCCACACUGGAACUGAGACACGGUCCAGACUCCUACGGGAGGCAGCAGUAGGGAAUAUUCCGAAAUGGGCGAAAGCCUGACGGAGCAACGCCGCGUGAGUGAUGAAGGUCUUCGGAUCGUAAACCUCUGUUAUUAGGGAAGCGGUACCUAAACAGAAAGCAACGGCUAACUACGUGCCAGCAGCCGCGGUAAUUC
rnacentral:rRNA from 1 species